rnacentral:misc_RNA from 1 species
GAUGAAGAACGCAGCGAAAUGCGAUACUUGGUGUGAAUUGCAAAAUCCCGUGAACCAUCGAGUCUUUGAACGCAAGUUGCGCCCGAAGCCUCGGCUAAGGGCACGUCUGCCUGGGCGUCACGCAUCGCGUCUCCCCCAAACCGCCAAGGCGGAGGGGAAGGAAGAUGGCUUCCCGUGCCUCACCCGGCGCGGUUGGCCUAAAUUUGGAGCCCGCGGCACUUAGCUCUCGCGGCGAUAGGUGGUGAACAAGGCCUUGGCCGUGCAAACAACCCGCUGCGAAGCUCUAUGUCACGUGCGCUCGUCGGACCCUUUGAAGUUGCCUUCGGUGACUUAAAACCUUUGCGACCCCAGGUCAGGCGGGGCUACCCGCUGAAUUUAAGCAUAUCAAUAAGCGGAGGA